ACGAUCAGUUUCUAUCUGGUUUCUAUUGGCCGUUCAUCCAUUGACGACAGAAUAGCAGAUUUUAAUUUGAUUGUGUUACUAGUUUUUGCUUAGUCGCCAGAUCAAUGCUGCUGCUGGAGUGGUCAUGUGAUUAAAACAUGGACAACACGGAUAUUGUUGAAGAAAAAUUGAACUUUGGAAAUAAAGCUGCACCUCUUGAAUGUUGAGAGUUAUUUGAUAAAGGGGUCAGUUCUCUAAAAUGAGUCUCUCUGGGGAGAGAGAGGAGGGGGGCCCUGCCUCUAAAAUGAGUCUCUCUGGCGAGAGGAAGGAGGGGGGCCCUGCCUCUAAAAUGAGUCUCUCUGGGGAGAGAGAGGAGGGGGGCCCUGCCUCUAAAAUGAGUCUCUCUGGCGAGAGAGAGAAGGGGGGCCCUGCCUCCAAAAUGCAUCUCUCUGGCGGACAUAACACCAAAGCUAAGAGACCAAUCAAGCAGGAGAGACCAGCCUCCCCUGUACCCAGCUGUGUGUCCAUGAAGAGUGACCAGUCUAUGGAUCGUCCUAUAAAGUUUAGAGAGGGAGA